GUGUUAACUAAUGUUAUGCCUUAUAUCUCAAGAAUCAGUGAGAUAUAUUUUCACAUUCUAAUUUUUAUUUAUUUUGCCCAAUGCAGUAUGUUGUGUACUGCUUUUAAUUCACUAAAGUUGUAUGACAGCGAGUUCCCGCCUUCGAAUUUUUUCACAACGUCAAUCAACCUUGCUAUGCAAAACAGAGCAACAUGUCUUACUGCUGAUUGGCUGUGAGUCCACCAGAGCGCGACGUGAUUGGAGGGAGCGCCUGUCGCGUGACGGCUCCUACCAUCAGGUUUCGUGGCGCAGAGGAUUGAGGCUCAUUCUCUCACACUCACUCACAGCAGCGAGAGCUCGGAGGAUGGAGGCGGCUGAAGCGCUAGGAGCCUGUAAGCAGUUUAAGAGCCGAUUUCAUCUCGGUGGGGAAUGUCUGCCUAUCUCUGGCCUGUCACUUAGAUACCACCGGAACGAUGGUUGGAGAAGGGAGGAGAGACUGUGGUACGGGAACAAUAGGUCAUAUCUGAGGACACUUUCACCUUCAGAAUGAGAGCCAAGCAUUUCCCAUUCAACUACAGCUGAAACGUCACAACACAAAUGAUGCAUCCUUCAUCUGUAUACUAUUAUGGUGAGUAAAAGCAUGUAUAAUUUAUAUGAUAAUCUACUGUGUGUGUGUGUGUGUGUGUGUGUGUGUGUGUGUGUGUGUGUGUAUGUAUGUAUGUAUGUAUGUGUAUAUAUAUAUAUAUAUAUAUAUAUAUAUAUAUAUAUAUAUAUAUAUAUAUAUAUAUAUAUAUAUAUACACAUGAAUACAUACAUACACACACACACACACACACACACACACACACACACACACAUAUAUAUAUAUAUAUAUAUAUAUAUAUAUAUAUAUAUAUAUAUACACAGGUGCUGGUCAUAUAAUUAGAAUAUCAUCAAAGAGUUUUUCACUAAUUCCAUUCAAAAAGUGAAACUUGUAUAUUAUAUUCAUUCAUUACACACAGACUGAUAUAUUUCACAUGUUUAUUUCUUUUAAUUUUGAUGAUUAUAACUGACAACCAAGGAAAAUCCCAAAUUCAGUAUCUCAGAAAAUUAGAAUAUUGUGAAAAGGUUCAAUAUUGAAGACACCUGGUGCCACACUCUAAUCAGCUGAUUAACUCAAAACACCUGCAAAGCCUUUAAAUGUUCUUUCAGUCUAGUUCUGUAGGCUUCACAAUCAUGGGGAAGACUGGUGACUUCACGGUUGUCCAAAAGACGACCACUGACACCUUGCACAAGGAGGGCAAGACACAAAAGGUCAUUGCAAAAGAGGCUGGCUGUUCACAGAGCUCUGUGUCCAAGCACAUUAAUAGAGAGGCGAAGGGAAGGAAAAGAUGUGUUAGAAAAAACGUGUACAAGCAAUAGGGAUAACUGCACCCUGGAGAUGAUUGUGAAAUAAUGCUGCUGAUCAACUUUAUGGAGAUGCAGAUUUCAUUUUCCAACAGGACUUGGCACCUGCACACAGUGACAAAGCUUCCAGUACCUGGUUUAAGGACCAUGGGAUCCCUGUUCUUAAUUGGCCAGCAAACUCGCCUGACCUUAACCCCAUAGAAUAUCUAUGGGGUAUUGUGAAGAGGAAGAUGCGAUAUGCCAGACCCAAGAAUGCAGAAGAGCUGAAGGCCACUAUCAGAGCAACCUGGUCUCUCAUAACACCUGAGCAGUGCCACAGACUGAUCGACUCCAUGCCGCAUUGCUGCAGUAAUUCAGGAAAAUGAGCCCCAAAGUAUUGAGUGCUUUACAUGCUAUUACUUUUCAUGUUCAUGCUUUUUAGUUGGCCAAGAUCUCUAAAAUCCUUUCUUUCUAUUGGUCUUAAGUUAUAUUCUAAUUUUCUGAGAUACUGAAUUUGGGAUUUUCCUUAGUUGUCAGUUAUAAUCAUCAAAAUUAAAAUAAAUAAAUAAUAAAAAAUCUGUGUGUAAUGAAUUAAUAUAAUAUACAAGUUUCACUUUUUGAAUGGAAUUAGUGAAAUCAACUUUUUGAUGAUAUUCUAUUUAUAUGACCAGCACCUGUUUAUAAUUCACAACACAUUUUUGGUAAUAACUAUAUGUAUGUGUGUGUGUGUGUGUGUACUUUUAUAUUUCCUUUUUUCCAUGAUAUUAAUAAUAAAAAAAAAAGUUUCACUUUAUAUUUUUUUUAGUAAACUUGUGUGUGCCUUGCACAACAAAAUAUUUAUUUACCCG
rnacentral:lncRNA from 1 species